UACGUAGGGUGCGAGCGUUAAUCGGAAUUACUGGGCGUAAAGCGUGCGCAGGCGGUUCUCCAAGUCCGUUGUGAAAGCCCCGGGCUCAAACUGGGAAUGGCAGUGGAAACUAGGGGACUGGAAUCUGGCAGAGGGGGGUGGAAUGCCGCGUGUAGCAGUGAAAUGCGUAGAGAUGCGGCGGAACACCGAUGGCGAAGGCAGCCCCCUGGGCUGAGAUUGACGCUCAGGCACGAAAGCGUGGGGAGCAAACAGG
rnacentral:rRNA from 1 species